CAUUGAGUGGCACGUGAGAUCUUAGGUCCCAGACCAGGGAUUGAACCCAUGCCCUGUGUUGUAGAAAGGAGGAAUCUUAACCAGUGAACCACCAUUGGAGUCUCUUGAUUGAGUUGUUUUUCUGAGAAUAAAUUUGAAGCUUCAUUUCAGCUGUCACAGAUAUGGAGGAAAGAGAGGCUAAAGUGUGGGUUUCGCUU
ensembl:lncRNA